UACGGAGGGUGCGAGCGUUGUCCGGAAUCACUGGGCGUAAAGGGCGCGUAGGCGGCCCGAUAAGUCUGCUGUGAAGGUCCAGGGCUCAACCCUGGAAUGCCGGUGGAUACUGUCGGGCUAGAGUUCGGAAGAGGCAAGUGGAAUUCCUGGUGUAGCGGUGGAAUGCGCAGAUAUCAGGAGGAACACCUAUAGCGAAGGCAGCUUGCUGGGACGACACUGACGCUGAGGCGCGAAAGCGUGGGGGAGCGAACAGG
rnacentral:rRNA from 1 species